rnacentral:rRNA from 1 species
CCUACGGGAGGCAGCAGUAGGGAAUCUUCCACAAUGGGCGAAAGCCUGAUGGAGCAACGCCGCGUGAGUGAUGAAGGCCUUCGGGUUGUAAAACUCUGUCAUUCGGGACGAACCGGAGUCUGAGGAAAUGCAGACUCUCUGACGGUACCGGAGGAGGAAGCCCCGGCUAACUACGUGCCAGCAGCCGCGGUAAUACGUAGGGGGCAAGCGUUGUCCGGAUUCACUGGGCGUAAAGCGCGCGCAGGCGGUGAUGUAAGUCUGAGGUGAAAACCCGAAGCUCAACUUCGGGACUGCCUUGGAUACUGCGUCACUUGAGGAUAGGAGAGGCAAGGGGGAAUUCCACGUGUAGCGGUGAAAUGCGUAGAGAUGUGGAGGAACACCUGUGGCGAAGGCGCCUUGCUGGCCUAUUUCUGACGCUGAGGCGCGAAAGCGUGGGGAGCAAACAGGAUUAGAUACCCUGGUAGUCCACGCUGUAAACGAUGAGUGCUAGGUGUAGGUGGGCUCAUACCACUCUGUGCGACGACUACGCAUAAGCACNCCGCCGCGGGUAGGUACGGUCGCGACGACGUAGAACGUACAAGUAGAGUUAGACGGCGUUGAGGACGNGCCGACGGCGACGACGAGGGAGGAGGG